AUUGAACGCUGGCGGCAGGCCUAACACAUGCAAGUCGAGCGGAUGAUGGGAGCUUGCCCCUGGAUUCAGCGGCGGACGGGUGAGUAAUGCCUAGGAAUCUGCCUGGUAGUGGGGGACAACGUUUCGAAAGGAACGCUAAUACCGCAUACGUCCUACGGGAGAAAGCAGGGGACCUUCGGGCCUUGCGCUAUCAGAUGAGCCUAGGUCGGAUUAGCUAGUAGGUGAGGUAAAGGCUCACCUAGGCGACAAUCCGUAACUGGUCUGAGAGGAUGAUCAGUCACACUGGAACUGAGACACGGUCCAGACUCCUACGGGAGGCAGCAAUGGGGAAUAUUGGACAAUGGGCGAAAGCCUGAUCCAGCCAUGCCGCGUGUGUGAAGAAGGUCUUCGGAUUGUAAAGCACUUUAAGUUGGGAGGAAGGGCAGUAAGUUAAUACCCUGCUGUUUUGACGUUACCGACAGAAUAAGCACCGGCUAACUUCGUGCCAGCCGCCGCCGUAAUAC
rnacentral:rRNA from 1 species